rnacentral:rRNA from 1 species
UGAGGAAUAUUGGGCAAUGGAGGAAACUCUGACCCAGCCAUGCCGCGUGAGUGAAGAAGGUUUUCGGAUUGUAAAGCUCUUUCGCACGGGACGAUGAUGACGGUACCGUGAUAAGAAGCCCCGGCUAACUUCGUGCCAGCAGCCGCGGUAAUACGAAGGGGGCGAAGCGUUGUUCGGAAUUACUGGGCGUAAAGGGAGUGUAGGCGGUUAUGUAAGAUAGCGGUGAAAUGCCGGGGCUCAACCUCGGAAUUGCCGUUAUAACUAUGUAACUAGAAUGAUAGAGAGGAUAGCGGAAUACCCAGUGUAGAGGUGAAAUCCGUAGAUAUUGGGUAGAACACCGGUGGCGAAGGCGGCUAUCUGGCUAUAAAUUGACGCUGAGGCUCGAAAGCAUGGGGAUCAAACAGGAUUAGAUACCC